GACGAACGCUGGCGGCGCGCCUAACACAUGCAAGUCGAACGAGCGAGAGAGAGCUUGCUUUCUCGAGCGAGUGGCGAACGGGUGAGUAACGCGUGAGGAACCUGCCUCAAAGAGGGGGACAACAGUUGGAAACGACUGCUAAUACCGGAUAACAACACUAGACGCAUGUCUAGAGUUUGAAAGAUGGUUCUGCUAUCACUCUUGGAUGGACCUGCGGUGCAUUAGCUAGUUGGUAAGGUAACGGCUUACCAAGGCAAUGAUGCAUAGCCGAGUUGAGAGACUGAUCGGCCACAUUGGGACUGAGACACGGCCCAA
rnacentral:rRNA from 1 species